AGCAGCCGCGGUAAUUCCAGCUCCAAUAGCGUAUAUUAAAGUUGUUGCAGUUAAAAAGCUCGUAGUUGAAUUUCGGGAUCAAUAUGUCGGUCGUGCCUUGGUACGUACUGGUAUCAUUGGUCUCUCCUUUCUGACGAACCAUGAUGUCAUUAAUUUGGUGUUAUGGGAAGUUAGGACUGUUACUUUGAAAAAAUUAGAGUGUUUAAAGCAGGCUUUAGCUUGAAUACAUUAGCAUGGAAUAAUGAAAUAGGACGUUCGAACCUAUUUUGUUGGUUUCUAGGAUCAACGUAUGAUUAAUAG
rnacentral:rRNA from 1 species